ACUACAAUUGACUUCAAUUAUUGAAAAUGAAAAUGAAAAUGAGUCUUGGAAAGCAAUCAGUCAUGGAACUGGCGUUUCAUUUUCAUUUUCAAUAAUUAACAAUGCUAAUACACUUAAAACACCAAUUCUCAUAACUAAAUCUGGUCUUUACAGUGUUCGAAGCGGCUAUCACGUGGCAAGAACGACGAGGUCGUCCCAUCUGCUGCAAGUCUCUUCAUCGUGGGGUCGGGGCAGGAUUGAUGAUAAGCUCUGGAAGCUGGUUUGGAAGGCUUGGGUUCCGCCCAAGGUGAGGAGUUUCAUAUGGAAGCUACUUCGAAAUUUUCUUCCCACUAGACAACUCCUAGCUAAGAGGGUGAACCUACCGGAUCCUACCUGCCCUUUCUGUAGUAUGGAGGUGGAGUCUGUAGCUGUGCAUUUGUUUAAGAAUUUCCCGGUGGUGAGCUGCUUUUGGUUGCAUAGUCCUUUGAGCUUAAGAACAAGGGAUCACCGACUCACUGUGGGCUUAUAUCAGGUGAGUGGCUGAUGGAGUUGCUUCAGCGACUCCCCAAAGCACAGGUGGAUUUGUUCUUUGUCUCUUUGUAGGCGUUAUGGGUUGAGAGGAACAAAUUAGUAUGGAAGGGGGGGAGGGGGUUUCGAUCCAGUAAAUGUGGUUAGCUGGUGCACUAGCUUCUUGGAGGAGUAUCAAUUGGUCAAUCCUAUUAUGACAUUUGCUAAGGUACGUAAUAGGGUCAAAUGGGUCUGCCCACCAUCUGAUAGGCACAAAGUGAACUUUGAUGGGGCCUUCAGGCCGGGUUGUAGAGGUGGUCUGGGUGUGGUUCGGCUUUGUUAUCCGACAGGAACAAUAAUUAUUUCCGUUAAUUUCUAAGUUGAGAUAAAUCAAAAUUUUACAUUGCAGCUUUAGUUUCUCUGUGUCACUAUUCAAUUUACUGGUUUCUAUUUCAGUACUUUUGUGCAAGCAAGUGCAAAAUUUUACUCUUUCAUGUUUUUUGGUAGACGGAUUGUGCUUGUAUAUAAUUGACUUUGUGAUUGUUGUACACUUUGUCAUUGGUGGUGGCAGAGGAGGAGGUUGGGAGGUGAAAGAUGCGCUUUAAUUCACUUUCUUUGACAACCUGCAAAACAGUAUGUAAGCCCUUUAAUUCACUGUUUGAUUCCAAUAAUAAAGUCCAAUAUCAAUGGAGCUUCAGGUGUUGUGGUUCUGAGCAAAUUGGUCGCUCUCUGUGUUUCCUUCGGCUAUGGCUGCGCUAUAUGAUACUCAUCAUAUGUUGAAUCAGGAAUUGCGGAAGACUGGGCCUUACUGUUGUAGCAUUCAACAAUGACGAUUGAAGAAAUGAUUGGUGCAUUAGUAAACGGGACGAUAAUGGAUCUUGUUAGUUGUAGAGGUGUAAGUUUUUCAAUAUACUCUUUAACUCUGGGCCUGCUGAAGAUUGUUAACUGUGAAAUUUGAAAUUUUUUUUUGUUCUACUCCUUGUAUAUGUUGAUCAAGCAGAUAAUGUGGUUUUCUGAAAUAUUCAAUGCUGCAAGGUGACUCACUAUAGCAUUUGCAAAGGUUUCUUCUUUCUUUCCUAUCUCUAUAUAUAUGCACAAUUAAUAUGUUCAAAUUUACAUUUUACCAAAGGGAAUGAUUCAGAAAGAUUUUCACGGAUAAGUCUUUAGAUUGGACUGAACCUUUGAAUACAUUGUAGACAUAUAUGGUUGUAGUAGAAGUUGUUGGCAAGUUCGAGUUGAUACUAAAAAUGUUCUGAUGAAGAUUGUCAAUGAUUGCUAGGAAAAAUUCCAAGGCAUUUUUUCCUCCUUUUGUGGUUUCUUUUUGUUUCAUUAGUGGUUAGAUCACUAGCUUACUAUGUUCUUACUGAGCUCUUCAUGAUGCAGUGCCAUUAAUAUUUUGAUGCUCAAAAGGAAAGAAAGAAUCAUAAAACAGUUCAUUGGGAGAUGGUUAAGGAAUA